CACCUCAUGUGCAGGUUUAAACUACCAUUAAACUAUUACAACCAUCUAAACUCUGAUCUAGUUCAUCUCUCUAACUAUCAGCAAUACAUUUUCCUUUGUUGAGUUGUUGUUGUCCUCCCUGCCCAGAAGCUUUAGCAGCAUUCACACCUUCAUCCUAAACUUGAGAGCUAUGAUUGUUUGCAGCAAGUCCCUCGACAAAAGCUGGCUCAGAAGCACCUUGUGUGACACUAUCCUUCAUAAAAGAAGAAGAAUAUUUAAGCUUCAUAACAUCAGUAGAAGGGUACUUACCUUGGGAAUUGGUUGGGUUGAAUCAAUCACUUGACUACCAGUUGCAUCUCCCUCAACAACAAUGUUUUAUGUGUUUCUCCUGACCUACAUAAGGUUUUAUUUGACAUCAAGGGCAUUUUAGGAGAAUUGCGGAAAGAAGAUUUGAUUGUGCUGGAGUGAAGAUUGUAUUUUAGGAAAUAUUAGGAUUUAAUUUCGGAAUAAAUUAAGUUUGAUAUCUUUCAGAUUCAAACUUAUUUAGGUUGUUAUUUUUAAACUCUAUCUUUAGGAUUUACUGUUAUCUUUUAGGAUUUGAUUUUGAUUAGGAUUUGUGAUCUCAGCUCCUAUUUAAGGGUUUGUGCUGAGAGAAACAAUUAUCUUUUGCCUUCUGCUUAUUAUUCAGUAUAAUUUCGUUUUCAGUAAUUAUUAAAGUUCGGCUAGGGUUUAUGCUUUUA